rnacentral:rRNA from 1 species
GAUGAACGCUGGCGGCGUGCCUAAUACAUGCCAGUCGAGCGAACGGACGAGAAGCUUGCUUUUCUGAUGUUAGCGGCGGACGGGUGAGUAACACGUGGAUAACCUACCUAUAAGACUGGGAUAACUUCGGGAAACCGGAGCUAAUACCGGAUAAUAUUUUGAACCGCAUGGUUCAAAAGUGAAAGACGGUCUUGCUGUCACUUAUAGAUGGAUCCGCGCUGCAUUAGCUAGUUGGUAAGGUAACGGCUUACCAAGGCAACGAUGCAUAGCCGACCUGAGAGGGUGAUCGGCCACACUGGAACUGAGACACGGUCCAGACUCCUACGGGAGGCAGCAGUAGGGAAUCUUCCGCAAUGGGCGAAAGCCUGACGGAGCAACGCCGCGCGAGUGAUGAAGGUCUUCGGAUCGUAAAACUCUGUUAUUAGGGAAGAACAUAUGUGUAAGUAACUGUGCACAUCUUGACGGUACCUAAUCAGAAAGCCACGGCUAACUACGUG